UACGAAGGGUGCAAACGUUGCUCGGAAUUAUUGGGCGUAAAGAGCUCGUAGGCGGUUUGUCGCGUCUGCUGUGAAAUCCCGAGGCUCAACCUCGGGCCUGCAGUGGGUACGGGCAGACUAGAGUGCGGUAGGGGAGAUUGGAAUUCCUGGUGUAGCGGUGGAAUGCGCAGAUAUCAGGAGGAACACCGAUGGCGAAGGCGGGUCUCUGGGCCGAUACUGACACUGAGGCGCGGAAAGCGUGGGGAGCCGAACAGG
rnacentral:rRNA from 1 species